rnacentral:rRNA from 1 species
AGCAGCCGCGGUAAUUCCAGCUCCAAUAGCGUAUAUUAAAGUUGUUGCAGUUAAAAAGCUCGUAGUUGAAUUUCGGGGUUAGUAAGUUGGUCAUGCCUUCGGUAUGUACUGGCUUUACUGAUUCCUCCUUCUUGACGAACCGUGAUGUCAUUAAUUUGGUGUUGCGGGAAAUCAGGACUGUUACUUUGAAAAAAUUAGAAGUGUUUAAAGCAGGCUAACGCUUGAAUACAUUAGCAUGGAAUAAUGAAAUAGGACGUUAAUCCUAUUUUGUUGGUUUCUAGGAUCGACGUAAUGAUUAAUAGGGAUAGUUGGGGGCAUUAGUAUUCGAAUUGUCAGAGGUGAAAUUCUUGGAUUUAUUGAAGACUAACUACUGCGAAAAGCAAUUUGCCAAGGAUGUUUUCAUUAAUCAAGAACGAAAGUUAGGGAUCGAAGACGAUCAGAUACCGUCGUAGUCUUAACCAUAAACUAUGCCGACUAGGGAUCGGAUGAUGUUAAUUCUUUAAUGUACUUCUAUUCGGCG